rnacentral:rRNA from 1 species
GGCUCAGGAUGAACGCUAGCGGCAGGCUUAACACAUGCAAGUCGAGGGGCAGCAUUCUGAUAGCUUGCUAUCAGUGAUGGCGACCGGCGCACGGGUGAGUAACGCGUAUCCAACCUGCCUGUCACUCAGGAAUAGCCCGGUGAAAACCGGAUUAAGUCCUGAUGAUAUCAUUAGAGGGCAUCUGACGAUGAUUAAAGGUUACGGUGACAGAUGGGGAUGCGUCUGAUUAGCUUGUUGGCGGGGUAACGGCCCACCAAGGCAACGAUCAGUAGGGGUUCUGAGAGGAUGAACGGCCACAUUGGGACUGAGAUACGGCCCAGACUCCUACGGGAGGCAGCAGUGGGGAAUAUUGCACAAUGGGGGAAACCCUGAUGCAGCGACGCCGCGUGAGUGAAGAAGUAUUUCGGUAUGUAAAGCUCUAUCAGCAGGGAAGAAAAUGACGGUACCUGACUAAGAAGCCCCGGCUAACUACGUG